UAAGGAAUAUUGGUCGAUGGACGCAAGUCUGAACCAGCCAUGCCGCGUGAAGGAUGAAGGUCCUCUGGAUUGUAAACUUCUUUUAUCUGGGACGAAAACGGGAUUUUUAUCUCAACUGACGGUACCAGAGGAAUAAGCACCGGCUAACUCCGUGCCAGCAGCCGCGGUAAUACGGAGGGUGCGAGCGUUAUCCGGAUUUACUGGGUUUAAAGGGUGCGUAGGUGGGCUUAUAAGUCAGUGGUGAAAUCUCCGAGCUUAACUUGGAAACUGCCGUUGAUACUAUAGGUCUUGAAUUAUCUGGAGGUAAGCGGAAUAUGUCAUGUAGCGGUGAAAUGCUUAGAUAUGACAUAGAACACCAAUUGCGAAGGCAGCUUACUACAUAUAAAUUGACGCUGAGGCACGAAAGCGUGGGGAUCAAACA
rnacentral:rRNA from 1 species